rnacentral:rRNA from 1 species
GAUGAACGCUGGCGGCGUGCCUAAUACAUGCAAGUCGAGCGAACAGACGAGGAGCUUGCUCCUCUGACGUUAGCGGCGGACGGGUGAGUAACACGUGGAUAACCUACCUAUAAGACUGGGAUAACUUCGGGAAACCGGAGCUAAUACCGGAUAAUAUAUUGAACCGCAUGGUUCAAUAGUGAAAGACGGUUUUGCGGUCACUUAUAGAUGGAUCCGCGCCGCAUUAGCUAGUUGGUAAGGUAACGGCUUACCAAGGCAACGAUGCGUAGCCGACCUGAGAGGGUGAUCGGCCACACUGGAACUGAGACACGGUCCAGACUCCUACGGGAGGCAGCAGUAGGGAAUCUUCCGCAAUGGGCGAAAGCCUGACGGAGCAACACCGCGUGAGUGAUGAAGGUCUUCGGAUCGUAAAACUCUGUUAUUAGGGAAGAACAAAUGUGUAAGUAACGAUGCACGUCUUGACGGUACCUAAUCAGAAAGCCACGGCUAACUACGU